AUAUAAUAAAAAAGAAGAUGUGGUAUGAUUGCCAAUGAGACAACUAUCCACAAAAGACCAAAAUGACACAAACAUUAACAAUUAUAGGUCACCGUACGGCCUUCAACAAUGAGCAAAGCCCAUACCGCAUAUAGUCAGCUAUAAAAGGCCCCGAUAAGACAAUGUAAAACAAUUCAAGCGAGACAACUAACGGCCUAAUUUAUGUAAAAAAAUUAACGAAAAACAAAUAUGUAACACAUAAACAAACGAC
rnacentral:lncRNA from 1 species